rnacentral:rRNA from 1 species
CCUACGGGGGGCAGCAGUGAGGAAUAUUGGUCAAUGGGCGGAAGCCUGAACCAGCCAAGUCGCGUGAGGGAUUAAGGCCCUGCGGGUCGUAAACCUCUUUUGCCGGGGAGCAGUGGUCCGGACGAGUCCGGGCCGGGAGAGUACCCGGAGAAAAAGCAUCGGCUAACUCCGUGCCAGCAGCCGCGGUAAUACGGAGGAUGCGAGCGUUAUCCGGAUUUAUUGGGUUAAAAGGGUGCGUAGGCGGGCAUUUAAGCCGGCGGUCAAAUGUCGGGGCUCAACCCCGGCCUGCCGUCGGAACUGGGUGCCUUGAGUGGGCGAGAAGUAGGCGGAAUGCGUGGUGUAGCGGUGAAAUGCAUAGAUAUCACGCAGAACCCCGAUUGCGAAGGCAGCAUACCGGCGCCCGACUGACGCUGAGGCACGAAAGUGCGGGUAUCGAACAGGAUUAGAUACCCUAGUAGUC